rnacentral:rRNA from 1 species
CCUACUACUUGGAUAACCGUGGUAAUUCUAGAGCUAAUACAUGCUGAAAACCCCGACUUCGGGAGGGGUGUAUUUAUUAGAUAAAAAACCAAUGCCCUUCGGGGCUCUUUGGUGAUUCAUGAUAACUUAACGGAUCGCAUGGCCUUGCGCCGGCGACGGUUCAUUCAAAUUUCUGCCCUAUCAACUUUCGAUGGUAAGGUAUUGGCUUACCAUGGUUUCAACGGGUAACGGGGAAUUAGGGUUCGGUUCCGGAGAGGGAGCCUGAGAAACGGCUACCACAUCCAAGGAAGGCAGCAGGCGCGCAAAUUACCCAAUCCCGACACGGGGAGGUAGUGACAAUAAAUACUGAUACAGGGCUCUUUUGGGUCUUGUAAUUGGAAUGAGUACAAUUUAAACCCCUUAACGAGGAACAAUUGGAGGGCAAGUCUGGUGCCAGCAGCCGCGGUAAUUCCAGCUCCAAUAGCGUAUAUUAAAGUUGUUGCAGUUAAAAAGCUCGUAGUUGAAUCUUGGGUCUGGCUGGCCGGUCCGCCUCACCGCGUGUACUGGUCCGGCCGGGCCUUUCCUUCUGGAGAGCCCCAUGCCCUUCACUGGGUGUGCGGGGGAACCAGGACUUUUACUUUGAAAAAAUUAGAGUGUUCAAAGCAGGCCUUUGCUCGAAUACGUUAGCAUGGAAUAAUAGAAUAGGACGUGCGGUUCUAUUUUGUUGGUUUCUAGAACCGCCGUAAUGAUUAAUAGGGAUAGUCGGGGGCAUCAGUAUUCAAUUGUCAGAGGUGAAAUUCUUAGAUUUAUUGAAGACUAACUACUGCGAAAGCAUUUGCCAAGGAUGUUUUCAUUAAUCAGUGAACGAAAGUUAGGGGAUCGAAGACGAUCAGAUACCGUCGUAGUCUUAACCGUAAACUAUGCCGACUAGGGAUCGGGCGGUGUUUCUAUCUUGACCCGCUCGGCACC